GACGAACGCUGGCGGCGUGCUUAACACAUGCGAGUCGAACGCUGAAGCUCAGCUUGCUGGGUGGAUGAGUGGCGAACGGGUGAGUAACACGUGAGUAACCUGCCCUCUUCUUUGGGAUAACGCCCGGAAACGGGUGCUAAUACUGGAUAUUCACUGAUUCUCGCAUGGGGGUUGGUGGAAAGGUUUUUUCUGGUGGGGGAUGGGCUCGCGGCCUAUCAGCUUGUUGGUGGGGUGAUGGCCUACCAAGGCUUUGACGGGUAGCCGGCCUGAGAGGGUGACCGGUCACAUUGGGACUGAGAUACGGCCCAGACUCCUACGGGAGGCAGCAGUGGGGAAUAUUGCACAAUGGGCGAAAGCCGGAUGCAGCGACGCCGCGUGAGGGAUGGAGGCCUUCGGGUUGUAAACCUCUUUCGCUCAUGGUCAAGCCGCAGCUUUGGGUUGUGGUGAGGGUAGUGGGUAAAGAAGCGCCGGCUAACUACGUG
rnacentral:rRNA from 1 species